UCUGUUUUGUCCACAGGUAACCCCUGUCUACCCCAGUCUAUUUCCGAUCUCUCGCUUUACGCAUUUUAUGUCAACCAAUUCGAUUUAAGGGUUUGAAUAAUCUCACAUGUAUUUUUUUUCUAACACCUUACGCUCACCAAUUAAGUUUAGAGUUUGAAGGUUCAGUUUAGAAGGUUCUGUGAAGAAAGAAUGUGAUAUAAUGGAUCAGAAGCCUAAGUUAGUUAAGUUGAUUACGUCGGUGCCACUUACGGGUUAGGUUUAAGUAAGAAGGAACAGAGAGUUGUGGAGGAUAGGAAGGUGAGUUUAGCAAGGAUAGAGACCGGGAAUUUUGAAGAGAAGGCUGAUUGGUUGUUGCUUGGAUGGACUGCGAUUAUUAGGUUAUCAACUAUAAAAGUGCCGAAACUUGAAGAUAAUGAGAUUGUCCACUAGAUGGGUCUCAUUUUCAAUUUUUUUGAGGGCCCAAACAUAAGGAAUGCAUAAACCAAACAACAACUUUCAAGUAAUCAUACCCAUGUCUACAAGCCCGAUUUUUCCUAGGUUGUUUUUCUAUGAAUAUGGCUUAAUUGAUGCAAUUUGAACAUACAGGAAGCGGUUCUUAUAAAUGCAGCAGAGGACCCCUGGUUGACUAAGAGGCUCUUGUGGAGCAUUUGAAGCAUAAUGAUUUUAUCUUUACUUUUGAAACACUUGUAGAGAUAGUGUUCGAUUUUACUUUUUGUUGGUUAUUAUAAAGCUGCUUUGAUGAUUAUAAACUUUUGCAUUGUGUAUGUCGAGAUGACAUUCGAUCAUGUCAGCAAAGAGAAAAAGGAAAAUAUCACACCAACUAAGAUAUAGCUAACAUCUCAAAGCUUCCUUCUCAACUCCAAGAUAUAAUUUUGAGAAUGGUCCUAAAGGUGAUUAGAGAAUGUCACUGAAGUCAAAGUAGAGAGUUGACUUUCUAAAUCCUGGUUGUGGCUAACGCAGACUCGCGUAGGAAUCUGGUUUAUCUGAGUUGCCCUCGGUACAGGUUUGGAUAUCUAUUUCCUAUGGAUUUUUUUUUUGUUUUUGGACGACUAACUGCUUUCCACGUGUAAACUCACCCUUUCG
rnacentral:lncRNA from 1 species